CUCUACCCCAUAUCAGCAGGACCCACCAGUGGGGAGCUGAGCCUGUACCCUGACCUGGCAUUCAUGAAGCAGAAAUAGGUGAUGUGAGCCUGGAGUCUGUCUUCGGAGUAGCCCUUGAUCUCACUGGACCGGCCAAAGGCACCUGCCAUCAUGAAGAUGGGGUCAAAAUCUGUGAGCUUCCUGGAUACAUAGCAAGUACCUGUUCUGGAGGGCUCUUCCCUCUGUACUGGUGAUGGCUGAGGUGGAAGUAUCGGAAGCCCCACUGCUGCUACAAAUAUAAAUGUUUAUUUCACGCAGGAGAAUAUCUUGCUCCUGAGCUCUGCCAAACUCUGAGAUACCCCCAGAUCCAAGCAUUUCCUGGACUGUGGGCCAUCUUCGACUCUUUCCACCACAACUAGCUGUUCUCCGAUGAUCCAUUUAGCAGCUUCUUCCAUCCAGAGUAGCACUGUCUCCUGCAUUUUACCACCACAGGCUUCCAGUAGAUUUAUCUGUGACACACAGAGCAAGGAUUACAGCCGUUUGUCUUCCAACAGUAAGAUUAACCGUGUUCUCACAAGAGACCCCAACGCUUCCAAGAUGGUGUCUUUUUUUCCUUCUCAGAGACAUGAAUGCAAUCUCAGGCACACAAUGGAAGCAGUGCCAAUAAAGUCUAUUCUUGUCAGCCUC